rnacentral:lncRNA from 1 species
UCAUAUUAAAGGUGUUUUUUUAUACUAAAUAAUAAUUUUUGUGUUUUAAUUUUUAAAGCAUGUUGCAAAUUUUGAUUUAUUUUUUAUAAUAUUAAAAUAAUAUAAAUGAAUUAUUUAUAAGAUAAAAUAAAAAUUGAUGACGUGUAGUCUCUAUUAUGUAGUUUAAGUCACGUGACAUCAUCAUAUAAACAUCCAUGUCAUUUAAAAUGACAUCAAGACUGAAUGGAGGGUUAAAAUUCAGAAAAUAUUGAAACUGAUAGAUAAAAUAG